CGCGGGGAAUCUGUGCAGCUCGAGCGUGCGACCUCAUUUUUCUGUCCUGAGAAGAGAACGGAGCAGUUGGUUUGAGUAAAGCAGCAGUAUGAUGUAACCCACAUUUAAAAAACCUAAAAAAGGUAACUUCCUCUUUAAGACUCAUGGUGGCGUUUAUAAAGCGUCCAGGACGGGGAGAAGAACUGCGGGAAAAACAGUGAAACCCGCUAAACAGAUUUUUAGCAACCCAAAGGAUUACUAGCACUGGAUUACGACGGUUUUUGGUCAGUGUCCACCGUUUGAGAUGCGAAGCAGUACAAGCCACUCACGGAAACGGUGGCGAGCUAAACCCACGGAUCGCGUACAUGGAUCUGCAUCGACCUUUUCUUUUUCUACUGAAGAAAAACCGAUGCUCAAGGUCGGACUGUGUUGAUACAGCUUCAACAGUGCGGUAGGAUAUAUGUUUAUUUCAUCUGGAGGACUGAACUGAUAUUCCUUUUUUUUUUUUACUUGGACUCGGACUUUCUUAAAAACAGUGCCUGAAUUCCUGUACUUCCAUAAUUGUUGGUGUGCAAUGUUUGAUUUUUUGUUUGUUUAUGUAAACUAAGGAGUAUUUCCCGUGUUUUACCUGAAAAGGGUAAUACGUGAAAGGGUAGAUUUACCUGGGUAUAAUAUUCAAAAGUGACUACUUACAUUGACCGCUCUCAUCGAACCUAAAUCUGGCCCUGUAGCAUUACUUGCAGUGGUAUACAAACAUAAAAGUGUUACAAAAACAUCAGGUUUUUUCUUUAUAUGAAACCGCUGGGUCAGUAUUAUUAUAUGUUGGAGCUCUUGUAAAGUUGACUGCGAUUACAACAGAGUACAUGUGGAGUCUCCCGCGGUAACCGCGAAGCUUAUCGCUGUGUUAUCACUAGCCGAAAUGCUAAUAUUAAACGAGGUGUUUAUUUUAAUGUGAACGAAUUGUUUAACAUAUGAAGUAAGUAAAAUAAAAUGAGAACCUUGUCAGUUA